CAACUCGCGCAUGCGCAUUUGCGCAAUUGGACGGUUGAACUUGAGGAAGACGUCAAGACGAGACGACAUCGACGAGGGACUUCAGCUCGUGUUCGGGAAUGGAUGCGGCAGCAAAACUAGAUUCGCUCAACGUUUCAUCAAUAAAUUCAAGGCUAAAUCUGGAGAUAUUGGCUCCAAACUUAAGAUUCUGCAGCAGAUUCAAAAUGACGUAAGCUCAUCGACAUAUCACAAUUAUGUCUCGAUUGCAAAACAUAUGUUGCUUUUACUGUUGUUUUUUGCUCUGACGUUUUGCUAGUACCGAGUGCUAUUCAAUAUACAUUUUUAUAACUUUGCAGAAAUCCAAUAUCAAUGCGGAACGAACAGCGUUCUUCACCAUGGCCUACCACUACUUUUCGAGGAGGACCACCAUGAUUUUUACAAGACAUCUUUUGACUGUGAUGACAAUGAAGAUAUGUCCAACAUUGAAAUGAGUUCUGACAGUGAUUCCCGAAUCGUCUGCAACCGCUGCCAUACCCUACUCCCU